GACAGGGAGUGAAAUUUUGGGGGAGAGAUUUUAUUUUUCCUUCACUGAUCUCAUUCUCGUCACUCUCUUUCAGAAAGAAAAUUUAGAAUCUAGGUUCAUGCAAUAACAGAACUAAGCUAGGCUUUGGAGAGAGAUCUGAUUUCCCGAAAAGUUGAAGGGUUCUUGUUGCCGGAAGAAUUCCUAAUUUCUGUUUUUCAGUUUGAAAGAAAUUUGAUUUGAGACUUGGUGGAGAUGCAAAUAAGUGAAGAUGUGGAUGCAAUUAAUGUUGGCUGAUUUCAUAAGCAGGGAUAAAGGAGCGUUACCCCUAACAACAGAAAUCUCUCUCUCUGGAUCUCAACUCUGCCUCCAGGUGUUUGUAAAAAGGUCUCAAUGAGUGCUGCAAGGUUGGUGGUCAGUCACCAACAAAUGUCGAGUUAAGUAAUCUCAACAUUUCCCUGAUUUUUGGACUCUAUUAAUGAGUGAAUGAAAAGGUAAUGUGUGAAAGUGGAAUUCAUGUACUAUUUAAUUCCUAAUGAGAAUUCAAAUUAACUACAUAUUAGUUUUUCAAGAGUACAAGUUUGAAUGAGAAAUGCUAAGAUAGCGAGGUGCAGUUGACUUGUAUCAGAUGAUUAUUAGCUUACAUGUUAGAUAGAUCCGAUGUGAGUAGUGAUAAGAUUUAUAAUAGUGGGAAAGGCAACAGAUGCAUUGUAUAUUCUUGUUUGCUAUAUGUAUGUUAGCACAUCUUUAUGAA